GAUGAACGCUAGCUACAGGCUUAACACAUGCAAGUCGAGGGGCAUCAGGAAGAAAGCUUGCUUUCUUUGCUGGCGACCGGCGCACGGGUGAGUAACACGUAUCCAACCUGCCCUUUACUCGGGGAUAGCCUUUCGAAAGGAACGAUUAAUACCCGAUGGCAUAACUGAAUUCCGGCCAUGGUUUCAUUAUUAAAGGAUUCCGGUAAAGGAUGGGGAUGCGUUCCAUUAGGUUGUUGGUGAGGUAACGGCCCACCAAGCC
rnacentral:rRNA from 1 species